AUUUACAUGUUGGAAUAAUUCAGUGUUGUAAUUUAACAAAGUACCAAUACUUUGUUACUGUACUUAAGUAGUAUUUUCACGUAUCUGUACUUGACUUGUAGUCGUUGUUAUUUCUGGAAACUUUCAAUUUGACUCCACUACAUUUCCUAAGUAAAAUGCAUACUUUUACUUCAUUA